CGUUUAAAUAAAGGUUUCCCGGAGCCGGUUUUGGGGCUCGCUGGAGGUCGGCCGGCCCGUCUCCCGGCGUUAUCGCGCAGGAGCGGGGUCGGCGGAGGGGAGGAGAGGACAGACUUCAGGCAGUUGUGAUGAUACAGACUGGUCCAGCAUGGACUUUUCAUUGACGUCAACCGAGGCUGAAAUCUUCCUGUUGAGGCAGAGCCUUGCAGAUGGUUUAGUGGGUGUACAUGGAUUUUUCAUCCACAGACUGGGCCGUAGUUUGAGGUUACGUUCUUCUGUUUGUGUGCCAGUGUAAGCUGGUCUAAAGCAUCUCCUCCCAAAUGAUAAAGACCAUGAUUUGUGUUUCUCGGGUUUUUUUUAUGUUCCAAUAUUUUUCUGUGUUCAGCUAGCACCUCUCUUAGGUAGACCUUUUUUUUUAAUUCUUCUUUCUUAUCGCUGUUCGUCAGAGCCACAGAAACACCAUUGCACUGAAAUUAAUCGGAGCAGAUGCAGAGUUCCUGUAACCACCUUCUGUCUCUCUCUGGUAGAGAAGUGGGAAGUGCAGGAUGAAGGGGUGAAAGAAGGGGACAUGUAUCUUGUGUUGCCAUUACUGAUUCUCCAUGUCAUCUUCUGUAUGCGGAGGCCUUGGUUGCUGUAUCAGAGGCUACGUGAAGUUAAUUAAGGGAUUCCUGUAUUCUAAUUCCUACAUCGGAAACAAGCCAAGCCUGAGCAGCAUUUCUGGAGAGGCAAGAUGCAAACCCAGAAGUAAACAGGAUCUUGGUGCAACAGUACUGUUAUCUAACAGAGACUGAUUCUUAUCCUAUGACUGGAAUUAAUACCAAGGUGCUAAAGUGCGUGUUCCUCAACAAAAAUCCGUAAUUCCCAAAUAUAAAUGCGUGCUUUUGGACCAAUGAAUAGUUCCAGUAGCUCUAUCUAGUCUCUCACUUUCUUAAAAUGUAAGAAACAGCCCUUUGUAUAGCUGUUGAUUCUUACGCACAUGUCUCGGCUAGCCAGCAUAGCGUCAUGCAAGUAAGCGCCAUGACUCCAUUUCAGUUCAGCAGCAACCAGUCCUUUAUUUUUGUUUGAAAAUGAUGCUUUUCCCUGCAACCCUCUGCAAUGAACUGUAAUGGAAGACUAUCAUCUAGCAAUUGCUUGAUUUAUCUGCACCCAUCCCAUUUUCAAAGCAGGAGUGUUCCAACAGAAAUUUGCAGAGCCUUCGUGUUUUUCAUCUGCCCUUAGCUAGUCAUAGAUUUGAGAGCAGGAUUGUGCUACUGGCAAAUUAAUCAGUCUCGAAACUUCACAAUUAAUCAUAGCAGAGCCAGUGCUCUGCUCAAGAAUUGAGGAGAAAAAUCCUUAUGGGUAUUAGGUGCCUGAUUACCCCAGAAAUCAAAGAUUGUAUAUGUUUUAACUUCACUGAACACAUCUCUGAAAGGAGUUCAUUUUAUUGCUGAUCCAGUUCUUCUGUCUCCUCUUAUCCAUAUGACAACUACAACAAUUGAUUAUACGGAAAAGUAAUAUUAAGAAAGUAUUUAAUGUAUUUUUAGCUGCUUCUAAUGGGAUUUAGCAGCUGGAAACAAGGAGAGCUGGCACUGAGUAAUCAGGGCAGUUCUUAGACAGCUGUGUGAGAACCAGUGCAUCAGACAGGGCUCUGAAACACAUUACCCUUUUUUUCCUGCAUUUUAAAAAAUGCAAUACAUGCAAUGAAAAUUUGAAAACCAGAUCUCAAUACUUGCAGCUCAGACAGUAUCUCAAAGUAGAAGGGAAUUCAUUGUUAAAUCCAGUUCUGUAAUAACUUCUAGAUGAAAAUGCCCCCGGGUUUUGUGUGACUUUUUUAAAAUGUAAUGCUUAUGGCAGUUAUUACUACCCAUCUUUGAAAGGCCUCAGGUUGGGAUUUAAAUUCCAUGCUACAUUCAUUUUUAAACAGAACAAAAAUGUAGUUAUUUCUGCUCCCCUUUUCUCUUUAUGAACAGCAAUCUAAGAGACCCAUUUUCCUAUUUUGGAAGAAAGCAAUUUUCUGCAUGUUUGUGCCUAAGAAUUGCAGCCAGAAGAGUAUCUUGACAAAAUGGCCCUCUAGUAUUCCAUAUGUUUUCUGUCUGAAUAGUUCCUGUACUGAGUUAGUUCCAUUUACAAAUAAAAAGCAUAAUUUUUCAAUGUAAGCACUGUGAACUGAGUCUUGAAUCUAAAAAGUCAAACCGAGUUCUUUCUCCCUGUUACAGUGUGGUCAGUAAUGUGUGUUUUGUCACUGAAAUUUGCUUAAUGGUUUUAUUUGAUGGUGCGUAAAGUAGAAUACAGUAUGAAUCCAUUUGUCAUAGUUACAAAAAGAAGUAACAUUUUUUGGUCUUUUUGUACUUGAAGUAAUUAACGUCAUUAUACAAAGCCAGGAAUGUGUGUCUAGAGUAAGGAGGCACCAUUUUUUCAUAUCAUUUUCCGUAUGGAAGGAAAUUAUCUUGGGAUGAAGUCUAAGCAGAGUAAUCUGUAGGCCUGUGGUAAUGCCUUGUGUUAGCGUCAGAUCCUGCUGACUCCUGUGAUAGUUUACUUGUGUACAAGAAGUUGCAGACUUCAGGGUCUAAGCAGAGUUAUUUAGGUGGAAGCCUGUAGAACCGGAGCUCACAGUGAAGGAUAUCCUUUCUAUAACAAUUUUAAUUCUGCCUACAGAAUUAAAUAGAAACUUGUUGUCCUGAUAUGUCAGUUAAAACUUCUCAAACCAUCUAGCUAUUCUUUAAUAAAUCCUGUGUUUAUGAAACCACCUUACUUCUCUCUCUUUCCUUACAUUUUAAGGAAUGUAUCCUUGUCCUUUCCUCAUUUUAAGGUGAAUUCUAUGCCCUAAAAACAAUUUCUAGAGCACAAUUCAUCUACUAAAUUUCAAAUGUAGCCAAAACGUUUUGGAUCUAUGCAUCACCCUUCGUGCUUUUCCUUUUGCAGCAAAGCUGUUUUGACUCUACUACAUACCCUGGUUAUUUUUCCGUUUCACAUUGCUGUCAGCCAUGUGACACUGAGACAACAGUAUAAAGUAUUUAUUGUUUUAACAGAUCAUGGAUCAAGAAGUUGAGUUCAGAAUGAAGAUAUCUUGAAACUUAAGAGUAAAUACAGCAAUACUGAAGUUGAGAAGUCAAAAUAAACCUCUGAGAAAAUGGAAAAGAUUCCUAAGAGCACUCAAAAAAUGUUACUACUUUGUUUUAAGAUGUAAUCUUUUCUGCCUUAUGAAAUGCAGAUCUAAGCAACUGUCAGUUGUUAUACGCUCUGAAGCGCUACCUAACACAGUUUGGGGAACCUGUUGGUGUAUGUGUAAAUGUGCAUGUAUGUCCGGUAAAUGAGAAAGCGUUAUCCCUCACUAUUAUCUUUUCCAUGUCUCGUGUUCUCCACUUCAGACAUACAACACUAUGAUCACAUCUGUAUAUAUACCAGGACAUUUUCAAGGCUUGCCUUUGUAUUCUCAGGUUCUGUGAGUGAGUCUAGCAAGCGGGGACAGAACUCUGCUGCUGUUUAGGGAAUGGUUUUUUGACACAGUACAACGCAGACACUGGGAAGAGCAGUAGAGCUAGUGCCAGUGUGCACCUUUUAGUUGGCUUUCACUCUCCUUGAAGAAAAGCUGUAGAGAAGUCCCCAUUUUUCUCUUUGAAAUUUUCAUAAUUAAGUUUGCUGCUUUACAGAUUUCUAGCCUGUGACUUGGAAGAACUAGAUUCUACAGAAAUACACAUUCUCCAUAAGCAUGCUUAAGAACUUGUGAAAAAUUUCAAGUGUUCCUUUGCAGAGUCUUCUUAACUGCUGCAGUCCUACCAUAGACAUUGUCACUAGAGUUACUUGGUGCUGAAAGACUGAUGAAUCCAUUAGUAGUAACAUAUAAAGUAAGUGUCAUGGCAUAAGUGUUUUCUGAGUGUUUGAACGGGAUAUAUAGUGUGAGAGAAGUGAAGAGACAUGCUUGCACAUAUGCCUUUACGAGCAUGCAUUUUCAUUGUUAGGGUUCCAAUAUUUUAAUAAUACAAUUCAAAGAGGAUUUGCGAUUUUUUUUUUUUUUCCUAAAGUGACAUGAAGACUGUAUUUAUCUUUUGGCUGAUCUAUAUAAUUGAUUCCUUUGGGAGUAUUUUUCAUUGCAAUUAACUUUGGUGCUCUGGCCGAUUCCAGUUUCUAAAUACCUAGAGUUUCCCUGUGGUAACAGGAAUUUAAAUGAAUGAUGUCAUUUGGUCCUUCUGUGCCAGUGCUAUUGUGUGGGACUACUGUAUUCUGUAAAAUUAGCUGUCCUUUUUUAUCUUAGGUGUGGCUGUACUUCCGCAGUGGACACAAUGACUGUGGUGUAAGUCCGUUUUACCAUUUACAGCCUGCAUGUGUUACAUAGAUAUACCUAGAUUGAUGAGUAUGUGAUUUGUAAAGUUGCUGGUAAAGGAUUUUGAAAUUCUUAGGGAUAAAAGAGAUACAUUUGCAAAUUAUCACAAUAGAAGAUUGCAUGUGCUUUUCUUAACUUAGGAUUAUUUGGUGGUUUGCAGUUCAUUCAAGAUGACAGUAAAAUUUUUGCCAUGAUUCCUGUAAUCGGAUCUAGUAGUAUCAGGGCGGUAUUUCCAGCUUCCAGAUUUUUCACUGAGGUGUGACAUUUGAAAGGGAGAUAGUACUUUUGAAUUGUACCGAUUGCUUGUCUAAACUCGUCAUCCCAUACUGUCAGUGGCCCAGUCAUUGCUCAGUGCCAGCUUAUCCUGUGAACAGGAAUAUGGGCAGAUAGCAGAUUACCACAUCACAUCAGAUAAGGUUGCUAGUAAGAGCAGUCAGAAUGAUUGGGUCAGAAAAACCCAAUCUGUAGAAAUGAAAUACCUGUACUUAUGGGAAUGCGUAAGAGUUCGGUGCAACAUACAGAAAGCACUACUCGCUGAGGAUCAAAUGUUUCUUACAUUUUUUCUUGCUUUCCUAGUCGUAUCUGUUGGGCAAGAGAGACGUAAAGGGUGUUAGAGCUGUGUGGUUUGUUCCAGAGGGGAGGAGCAGUGUGUUUUGACUGUGAUGCAAAUACUUCCUUUUGCUAUCUGUUGCUAUAUUGCUGGAAAGAUACAUAAGUAUAAUAGAAAAUUAUUUUCAAACCGUGCUCUGUAAUACUACAGAAAGUUGGAACAGUGCUGCAGGAUACGAAUAAAAACCAAAUAUUUACAUGA